UACAGAGGUGGCAAGCGUUGUUCGGAAUUACUGGGCGUAAAGGGCGCGUAGGCGGCUUGGUCAGUCCCGUGUGAAAUCCCUCGGCUCAACUGAGGAACUGCACGGGAAACUGCCUGGCUUGAGUUCGGGAGAGGGAAGCGGAAUUCCGGGUGUAGCGGUGAAAUGCGUAGAUAUCCGGAGGAACACCGGUGGCGAAGGCGGCCCCCUGGACCGGUACUGACGCUGAGGCGCGAAAGCGUGGGUAGCAAACGGG
rnacentral:rRNA from 1 species